UCUUUGGUAGUAUAGUGGUUAGUAUUCCCGCCUGUCACUUACUCUGCUCGCGGGCGACCGGGGUUCAAUUCCCCGCCAAAGAG